GAUGAACGCUGGCGGCGUGCCUAAUACAUGCAAGUCGAACGAGGUGCUUUUGUAGCAAUACGAGAGUAUCCUAGUGGCGAACGGGUGAGUAACGCGUGGAUGACCUGCCCCAAAGUGUGGGAUAACAGUCCGAAAGGAUUGCUAAUACCUCAUGUGGUUAUCGGUUUUAGAAAGCGAUAACUAAAGCAGCAAUGCGCUUUGGGAGGGAUCUGCGUCCCAUCAGCUAGUUGGUGAGGUAACGGCUCACCAAGGCGACGACGGGUAGGGGACCUGAGAGGGUGGCCCCCCCACAAUGGAACUGAAACACGGUCCAUACACCUACGGGUGGCAGCAGUAGGGAAUAUUGCUCAAUGGGGCAAAGCCUGAAGCAGCAAGCCGCGUGUGCGAUGAAGGCCCUUGGGUCGUAAGACACUUUUCUAAGAGAU
rnacentral:rRNA from 1 species